GUUUGAUCCUGGCUCAGGAUGAACGCUAGCUACAGGCUUAACACAUGCAAGUCGAGGGGCAGCAUGAAUAUUGGCUUGCCAAUAUUUGAUGGCGACCGGCGCACGGGUGAGUAACACGUAUCCAACCUUCCGGUUACUCGGGGAUAGGCUUUCGAAAGAAAGAUUAAUACCCGAUGUUGUGUAUCUUUCUCCUGAAAGAUACGCCAAAGGAUUCCGGUAACCGAUGGGGAUGCGUUCCAUUAGGCAGUUGGCGGGGUAACGGCCCACCAAACCUUCGAUGGAUAGGGGUUCUGAGAGGAAGGUCCCCCACAUUGGAACUGAGACACGGUCCAAACUCCUACGGGAGGCAGCAGCGAGGAAUAUUGGUCAAUGGACGGAAGUCUGAACCAGCCAAGUAGCGUGAAGGAUGACUGCCCUCUGGGUUUAAACUACUUUUAUACGGGAAUAACAUGAGGUACGCGUACCUUAUUGCAUGUACCGUUAUGAAUAAGCAUCGGCUAACUCCGUGCCAGCAGCCGCGGUAAUACGGAGGAUGCGAGCGUUAUCCGGAGUUAUUGGGUUUAGAGGGAGCGUAGGUGGGAUAUUAAGUCAGCUGUGAAAGUUUGGGGCUCAACCUUAAAAUUGCAGUUGAUACUGGUUUCCUUGAGUACGGUACAGGUGGGCGGAAUUCGUGGUGUAGCGGUGAAAUGCUUAGAUAUCACGAAGAACUCCGAUCGCGAAGGCAGCUCACCGGGCCGGAACUGACACUGAUGCUCGAAAGUGCGGGUAUCAAACAGGAUUAGAUACCCUGGUAGUCCGCACAGUAAACGAUGAAUACUCGCUGUUUGCGAUACACAGUAAGCGGCCAAGCGAAAGCGUUAAGUAUUCCACCUGGGGAGUACGCCGGCAACGGUGAAACUCAAAGGAAUUGACGGGGGCCCGCACAAGCGGAGGAACAUGUGGUUUAAUUCGAUGAUACGCGAGGAACCUUACCCGGGCUUAAAUUGCGCUGGCUUUUACCGGAAACGGUAUUUUCUUCGGACCAGCGUGAAGGUGCUGCAUGGUUGUCGUCAGCUCGUGCCGUGAGGUGUCGGCUUAAGUGCCAUAACGAGCGCAACCCUUAUCUUUAGUUACUAACAGUUUUGCUGAGGACUCUAAAGAGACUGCCGUCGUAAGAUGCGAGGAAGGUGGGGAUGACGUCAAAUCAGCACGGCCCUUACGUCCGGGGCUACACACGUGUUACAAUGGGGAGCACAGCAGGUUGCCACACGGCGACGUGAUGCCAAUCCGUAAAACUCCUCUCAGUUCGGAUCGAAGUCUGCAACCCGACUUCGUGAAGCUGGAUUCGCUAGUAAUCGCGCAUCAGCCACGGCGCGGUGAAUACGUUCCCGGGCCUUGUACACACCGCCCGUCAAGCCAUGAAAGCCGGGGGUACCUGAAGUACGUAACCGCGAGGACGUCCUAGGGUAAACCUGGUGAUUGGGGCUAAGUCGUAACAAGGUAGCCGUACCGGAAGGUGCGGCUGGAACACCUCCUUUCU
rnacentral:rRNA from 1 species